rnacentral:SRP_RNA from 2 species
GCUGGGCGUGGUGCCGCAUGCCUGUAAUCCCAGCUACUUGGGAGGCUGAGGCAGGAGAAUCACUUGAACCCGGGAGACAGAGGCUGCAGUGAGCUGAGACCGUGCCACUGCACUCCAGCCUGGGUAACAGAGCGAGACUCCAUCUCAA